UACGGGGGGAGCAAGCGUUGUUCGGAUUUACUGGGCGUAAAGGGCGCGUAGGCGGUCGUGACAAGUCACUUGUGAAAAUCUCCGGGCUUAACUCGGAACGGUCAAGUGAUACUGUCGGACUAGAGUACAGAAGGGGCAACUGGAAUUCUCGGUGUAGCGGUGAAAUGCGUAGAUAUUGGGAGGAACACCAGUGGCGAAGGCGGCUCACUGGACCGGUUCUGACGCUGAGGCGCGAAAGCGUGGGGAGCAAACGGGG
rnacentral:rRNA from 1 species